GGGGUUGUGGCUCAGUGGUAGAGCGCUUGCCUAGCAAGCGCUGGGUUUGAUUUUCAGCACCACA
rnacentral:tRNA from 1 species